ensembl:lncRNA
AAGCAACAGGUAAAGUUUCAAUAGUACUGAAAAAAAAAAAGUUUCAAUCAUACUUUGGACAUGGGUGAGCAGCAUAUAAUGUGUUUAACUCAGGCUGCCAAAUCUAAGCAGAGAAAAUCCACACACAUUGAGGACCAGUUUGAAAAUGUAGUUACAGUAAAGAUUACGUGUGUUUACAGGAAAGAGCAUGGGAACGAGAUAAUAUGUUACCUGUCACUUGGCCUAUGGGAGACAUUAAUCUUCCUCUUGGAAGAAAAAGAAAAUACUUCGUGUGAGUGCCUCUUCCCAUCCAAAGAGAUCAAAACAAAAAGGGAAGAGUUUAUCCUCAAGAUAGAAAAAAAAGACACAACCAAGGGGCUUUUCCACUGUGCAGUGUGGGCUGAAGUUUCCAACCCAAAAGGUGACAUCAUCUGGGCUGGAAGUUUUUUAGCAUUUCUACUCUCCUGGAGGAACCCUGGGGGCUCUGAGCAGAGAGAACUGGUCCUCAGAAAUGGAGCUGGGAAAAGCAAGGAAGAGGUGUGGAAGUUGACAGGAAGAAGAGCUGCACUGAGGGGGAGUGGAAUGCCCCACCACCGUUAGACAGGAAGGGCAUAGGCGAGAGCCCAAAGAGAACAUUCUCCAGGAAGGAAGGGCCUCCCCAAGCUCCUCUCCUGCCGGGCCUCCCGCUCUCCCACUUACUCACUAUCGCCUCAUCCCCCUAUCUAGAGAUCAUCAACACGCCCCACCAGAGGGGUCUUCUCAGGUGGCCUGUUGCCCAUUGGCCCACAGCAGCAGACCAGGCUCUGGUCACAGGCAUAACCUUGACGGGAGGGGCUAAGACCACCCCCUUUAAUGGACCAUUUGCCCAUUCAAUCCAACCAAGGAAGAUGUGCCUCAAUUUCCUCAUCAGCAAAAUGGGAACAAAACACCUACCCUCACAGGGCCACUGUGAAGAUAAAUUAGGUAACAUGUAAAAUGCUGAACACCACGCAUAGACCAUGGACUGCGGUGGGGCACUUGAUACACAUUAGCUCCUGGUGUUUUGAAAGACACACAGCACAGUGGUUAAGAGUAGAUGUCCCAAGCCAAAAUGCCUGGCUUUGACUCAGCGAAUCUACCGCUUACUAAAUGUGGACUGUAAGCAGUUACUAUGCCUCGGUUUCCCCAUCUGUAAACUAAGAUAGUGAGAGUACCUUAAUUCACACGGCUGUUGGGAGGACUAAUCGUCAAGAGAAAGAGCCUGGCAUAGUGCCUGGAACAUAGUAAGUGCUUUUUAAAUAAUAGCGAUUAUUCUGUUAGCUUUCUGUGAUGUGGAUGGCACGAGGCAGGUACGUGGGGAGUCCCCUUGGCCCUUGAGAAGCUUGUAGCCUAGAUCAGGGACAAGAAAUGCACACCCAGGACGAGCAGGAAGAGCAGCACAGAUACGGGACACAUGUUAAUUCUGCAAGCGUGCAAAUAGCAUUUCUCUCUAAGGUGCUCACGCACAGGCUAACGGAGCUCAGAAUGUUCCAAAUACAGCUCAGGGUGCACCGGGUGGCAAGUGCCCUCUUCUUGCCACCCCUACGUUGGGAGUCCCAGGUCUCAUUCAACUCUCAAGGUUGAUCAUUUCAACAGUUCUCCUGGAAAGCACUGUAGCUUCAAGAAUAAACGGGUUAGCCACCGUCCAUUCUCAUGGAUGGACCAGAAGGGUAUAAGACUCACAAGUCUCGUUAAAGUGCUACAGAAAAUCAACCGGGUCACACGCAGGAGCUAGAGGAGCAGGCUUCUACAGUGUGUCAACACUUUGGGCUCGAACUUCCUGGAAGGACCAUUUUAAGUAACUUUUAAAGCCAGCGGCUCCAGUGCUUGAAAGGAAACAGAUGCUGAAUAUAAAAAUUGAAAAGGGAAAGUAAGCAUCGCAAGGUAUUAAUUAAUCCCAUGAUGAAGAUUUCUGCUGCUUAGAUUACCUCUGCUUAAAGAAAUAUUUAUCCAAGAAAUUCAGAGAACGACAGGGAAGACAGACAACAUACUGUACUUAACAAGAUUCUGUGAUUUUUAAUCCUAACGAGGAUUAAAGGGCUGGAACAAAUGUGAUGGGGGCAUGCACCAGAAGCUAGUUAACCCCUUUUUAUUCCUUCCCAACAAGGCUGACAGCUAUUUUAAGCCCACAAAGUAGUCACGCUGUCUGAUUUGCAACUUUGGGAAUCAGACAGCUAGAUUCUUUUUAAGCAGGCGUGUAAAAUGAAGAUAAUACACUACUGGGCCUCUGAUUUAUAAAAGAACAGAGCGUACGACAAUUCCAGAGAUUAAAACCAUGCACAGAUGAAACAAAUUGCAAUUUGUAAGACUAAAUAACAACAAGAAUAAAAAUAGCAAUGGACUCUGUGCCAGGCACUGUGCUCCGCAUUUGCAAAUAUCACUCGUUUACUCCUCUCGUUAACCCUAAGAGGUAUGUGAUACUGGUUUCCUCCUUUUACAGAUGAGGAUACUAAACAAGGGACGUUAAGUAACUGGCACAAGGUCACACAGCAAGUGCGAGACAGAGCCAGGAUUCGAACCCAAACACAGUUGGCCUCCUGAAUCCUUGCUGUUACGCUGCCAACCAAAUUCAUGUCCUAAAAACUAUAGAAUAGCAAAUUAAAGGAAAUAAAACAAUGAACGGGGGGGAGGCAUCAAUUCAUUAAUCAGAACACAACUGGUUGAAAAUGUUUUUCACUAAUGACCAAUUACCUACUCCCGAAAUUGGCCAUAGGUUCUAUAAUCAAAGAUUCCAACUCUAUUGCAUGUCCAUCACUGAAACCCCAUUUAAUUCAGGGAAAGUGCUUGCUCAACGCUUCCUUUGGAAGGAAGUGGCUCUCUCUGAGGUAGGGGUGGGGAUACCUCCUGGGAUACCUGGAGAGUCCCUCAAGUCACCAGGGACUGAGAGUUGCAGGCCUAAGCAUGAGAAAGGGUCGGGAGGAGACUGGAGCCAGAUGAGGCAUCCCCCCUCUUAGGUGACAUAGAGGGCCCUGGCAGUCCCUGUAGGGAGCACUUUAGAAAUUACGUUCAUUCAUUCAAAAUACAUUUUCCAUAUGCACUCAGCACUACAGAAGACACAGGGGCAAAGGGACAGGGACCCUGACAGGGACAGUGGGGGGUGAAAAUCAGACAGGAGCAAGCAGCUCUAAUCCAUAGCAGGGUCUGGUCAGUCCCUUAGAUGGAGGAGGGACUGGUAGCACCCACUUCACUGCGUGACAUGAGGACUGGUCUGAGAGAUGGGUGGGAAAUCACAGGAUGGGUUUAGGGAAUG